AUUGAACGCUGGCGGUAUGCUUAACACAUGCAAGUCGAACGGUAGCAGGCCUUCGGGCGCUGACGGGUGGCGGACGGGUGAGUAACGCGUAGGAAUCUGCCUCAUAGUGGGGGACAACGUGGGGAAACUCACGCUAAUACCGCAUACGCCCUACGGGGGAAAGCGGGGGCUCUUCGGACCUCGCGCUAUGAGAUGAGCCUGCGUUAUAUUAGCUAGUUGGUAGGGUAAAAGCCUGCCAAGGCGACGAUCUAUAGCUGGUCUGAGAGGACGAUCAGCCACACUGGGACUGAGACACGGCCCAGACUCCUACGGGAGGCAGCAGUGGGGAAUAUUGGACAAUGGGCGCAAGCCUGAUCCAGCAAUACCGCGUGUGUGAAGAAGGCCCUAGGGUUGUAAAGCACUUUCAAUUGGGAGGAAAACCUGUCGGUCAAUACCCGGCAGCUUGACAUUACCUUUAGAAGAAGCACCGGCUGACUCCGUGCCAGCAGCCGCCGCAGUAA
rnacentral:rRNA from 1 species